GCUUCUUACAGCUCAGUCGGUAGAGCCUGAGACUCUUGAUCUCGGUGUCGUGGGUUGGAGCCGCCCCACAUUGGGCG